rnacentral:rRNA from 1 species
GUGUGCCUACGGGAGGCAGCAGUGAGGAAUAUUGGUCAAUGGGCUUACGCCUGAACCAGCCAAGUCGCGUGAGGGAGGAUUGCCCUAUGGGUUGUAAACCUCUUUUGUCAGGGAGCAACGCCGGCUACGUGUAGCCGGACUGAGAGUACCUGAAGAAAAAGCAUCGGCUAACUACGUGCCAGCAGCCGCGGUAAUACGUAGGGGGCAAGCGUUAUCCGGAUUUACUGGGUGUAAAGGGGGCGCAGACGGCAAUGCAAGCCAGGAGUGAAAGCCCGGGGCCCAACCCCGGGACUGCUCUUGGAACU